AACGAACGCUGGCGGCAGGCUUAACACAUGCAAGUCGAGCGAGACCUUCGGGUCUAGCGGCGGACGGGUGAGUAACGCGUGGGAACGUGCCCUUCUCUACGGAAUAGCCCCGGGAAACUGGGAGUAAUACCGUAUACGCCCUUUGGGGGAAAGAUUUAUCGGAGAAGGAUCGGCCCGCGUUGGAUUAGGUAGUUGGGGGGGUAAUGGCCCACCAAGCCGACGAUCCAUAGCUGGUUUGAGAGGAUGAUCAGCCACACUGGGACUAAGACGCGGCCCAGCCCCACGGGGGGGGCGGCGGGGGGAAUUCAUAAAAAAGGGGGGAACCCUAGAAACAGCCAGGCGGGGGGAGGGAGAAGGGCUUGGGGGUUGAAAACCUCUUCAAGUGGGAAAAAUAAGGAGGGAACCAGCAGAAGAACCCCGGCCAACCCCCGU
rnacentral:rRNA from 1 species